AUUGAACGCUGGCGGCAGGCCUAACACAUGCAAGUCGAGCGGAUGAAGGGAGCUUGCUCCUGGAUUCAGCGGCGGACGGGUGAGUAAUGCCUAGGAAUCUGCCUGGUAGUGGGGGAUAACGUCCGGAAACGGGCGCUAAUACCGCAUACGUCCUGAGGGAGAAAGUGGGGGAUCUUCGGACCUCACGCUAUCAGAUGAGCCUAGGUCGGAUUAGCUAGUUGGUGGGGUAAAGGCCUACCAAGGCGACGAUCCGUAACUGGUCUGAGAGGAUGAUCAGUCACACGGGAACUGAGACACGGUCCAGACUCCUACGGGAGGCAGCAGUGGGGAAUAUUGGACAAUGGGCGAAAGCCUGAUCCAGCCAUGCCGCGUGUGUGAAGAAGGUCUUCGGAUUGUAAAGCACUUUAAGUUGGGAGGAAGGGCAGUAAGUUAAUACCGUGCUGUUUUGACGUUACCAACAGAAUAAGCACCGGCUAACUUCGUG
rnacentral:rRNA from 1 species